UACAGAGGUCUCGAGCGUUUGUUCGGAUUCAUUGGGGCGUAAAGGGCGCGUAGGCGGCGGGGUAAGUCUGGUGUGAAAUCUCGGAGCUCAACUCCGAAAUUGCACUGGAUACUGCUCUGCUAGAGGGCUGGAGAGGAGAUCGGAAUUCACGGUGUAGCAGUGAAAUGCGUAGAUAUCGUGAGGAAGACCAGUGGCGAAGGCGGAUCUCUGGACAGCUCCUGACGCUGAGGCGCGAAGGCUAGGGGAGCAAACGGG
rnacentral:rRNA from 1 species